GCGUGCCUAAGCCAAAUCCACCGGGCAGCACACAGAGAGGCAAACGUCCAACUUGACCCUAGUGCGCGCAACAGUGAGGUCACCUCUAGGAGGAAAGCACCGAGUAGCAAAACAUAUGUAAUAGAAACAUCAACUAUGUUUUGACCACCUCUACCAUUGAAUUGGAAGAUGAGUAAUGAACCGGCCGUGGCAAGAGGCGAGACGAGUCGGAUGCAAUAUCCAAUCCAGUUAUGUAUCACACUCACCUUGGUGUACAACAUAUCGUACAUGAGGGAGAGAGGGAGAGCUCAAUUUCCGUCACUGCAUACUUCUGUUCGUCCGUAAGGCCACGAAGUAUUGCGGCGUCACUGGCACGGGUAUCCCUAGUAUUGUCAUAUGAAGAAUCAUCGACAACCGCAUACUUGCAAAUGUGGAACAGGGCGUGAGCAUUACAGAUCAGGAAUUCCUCUUCAUUAGCCUCCCUCCUAAAGUGCCCUUCAUUACUGAAGCUCAUCUGGUGGGGCUUAUACUCAAUGUGGGAAUGGCACUUGGUAUGCGGCUCCUUCUUGAGUGUACUCCGGAUGGUGUCGAUGUUGCCGGACAUGAGUGCCCAUGUCCUUUCCCCAUACUUGACAACACCUACAACAAACAUCAAAAUGGUGGCGAGUAGGAGUGGGCUUCCACUGCCCCUGAAUUGUUUGUAGAGGACAUAUGCAGCUCCCAAGACCUGCACAACGACAGUGAGAAGGUGUCGGAGCCAGAGCUUACUGUCCUCGAGGGAAUAUGCGGUGAUGUUGUCCGGGCCACCAAGGUGCAACAGAAGGAAUGGUGCCCAGAAUGCCACCAGCUGGUGCUCACGCGGUGUGCCACCGAGGGAGAGGUGGCAGAUGGCGUAGAUCGCAGUGGAGUCAGCCAGCUGGUAUGCCAACCACAGGAGAAGCCUCAGCACAGCUGGAGCUUCUCGGCGACGAAUCCCGGCAAGCUGGAGUAGGAUGAUCUGCAGAGUGAAGCUCAAGAGCACCAGGAUCUGGGUCGCCCACUCGUUCCAAAGAUCCAUUGGCCCACGUGCCAUUGCUGCU
rnacentral:sRNA from 1 species